AAAUGUCCCCCACCCUAUGAAGAUGUAAUAGUUUAGGUUUAUGUUUUUAUUAGUUCAUCAUGCAUGCCAACUAAAAAGAAAUAAAAAAACAAACGAUAAAAACAAAGCAUUUCAAAAGAAACAAAAGUUACUUGAUCCAACAUCAAGUUGUUUUCCAAAUAAAACUCACAUCAUUGCAACACGAAUACUUGAUCCAACGUCAAGUAUUUCCCAUCCACUC
rnacentral:lncRNA from 1 species